AUUGAACGCUGGCGGCAUGCCUUACACAUGCAAGUCGAACGGUAACAGGUCUUCGGAUGCUGACGAGUGGCGAACGGGUGAGUAAUACAUCGGAACGUGCCCGAGAGUGGGGGAUAACGAAGCGAAAGCUUUGCUAAUACCGCAUACGAUCUCAGGAUGAAAGCAGGGGACCGCAAGGCCUUGCGCUCACGGAGCGGCCGAUGGCAGAUUAGGUAGUUGGUGGGAUAAAAGCUUACCAAGCCGACGAUCUGUAGCUGGUCGGAGAGGACGACCAGCCACACUGGGACUGAGACACGGCCCAGACUCCUACGGGAGGCAGCAGUGGGGAAUUUUGGACAAUGGGCGCAAGCCUGAUCCAGCCAUGCCGCGUGCAGGAUGAAGGCCUUCGGGUUGUAAACUGCUUUUGUACGGAACGAAAAGACUCUGGUUAAUACCUGGGGUCCAUGACGGUACCGUAAGAAUAAGCACCGGCUAACUACGUGCCAGCCGCCGCCGUAACAC
rnacentral:rRNA from 1 species